CAAAGUUGAUCGUGUUUAUGACGUCGAAAAUCGACGUCAUAAACACCAAAGUUGAUCGUGUUUAUGACGUCGAAUAUCGACGUCAUAAACACCAAAG